rnacentral:rRNA from 1 species
GACGAACGCUGGCGGCGUGCCUAAUACAUGCAAGUAGAACGCAGUUGCGAACGGGUGAGUAACGCGUAGGUAACUGCCUCAUAGCGGGGGAUAACUAUUGGAAACGAUAGCUAAUACCGCAUACUGUGAGAUGGACCUGCGUUGUAUUAGCUAGUUGGUGAGGUAAAGGCUCACCAAGGCGACGAUACAUAGCCGACCUGGGAGGGGGAACCGGCAAAAUUGGAAUGGGACAAGGGCCAGACUCCUACGGGAGGGAGGAGUAGGGAAACUUUGGACAAUGAGGGAAGUCUGACUGAGCAAAGACGCGUGAGUGAAGAAGGUUCUCGGAUCGGAAAGCUCUGUUGUGAGGGAAGCGGUAACUAAACAGAAAGGGACGGCUAACUACGUGCCAGCAGCCGCGGUAAUAC